rnacentral:rRNA from 1 species
AUGCGGCCGCCGGCUCGAACCCAAGCCGAUGCCUCCAAGCCUGUCGUGCUCCUGGCCGACCCCAUCAUCCCAGAGUUUGAGCUGGAGCUCUCAGCUCGCUACAGUCUCCUUCCUCUCGCCGAUGUUGACGCGGACACAGCCGCCUCGGCGCGGGCGCUCCUUACAGUCGAGCUCCCGGCGGUGUCCGCCGAGCUCAUGGGCGCGCUCCCAAAGCUGGAGCUCGUACUCGCCUCGUCCGUCGGCGUUGACCACGUCGAUCUUGCCGCCUGCCGCCGCCGCAGGAUUGCCGUCACCAACGCAGGGGAUGCGUUCUCUGACGACGCGGCCGACUACGGCGUGGGGCUUGUCAUAGCCGCUCUCCGCCGCGUCGCCGCUGCAGACGCGUACGUCCGACGCGGCGGCUGGCCGGCCGGCGGGGACUAUCCCCUCGCCACCAAGGUGAGCGGCAAGCGGGUGGGGAUCGUGGGGCUGGGCAACAUCGGCUCCCGCAUCGCGCGGCGUCUCGCCGCCUUCGGCUGCGCCGUCUCCUACAACUCGAGGUCGCCCAAGCCGUCGGCGCCGUACGAGUUCGUCCCGGCCGUGCGCGACAUCGCCGCCGGCAGCGACGUGCUGGUGCUAUCCUGCGCGCUGACGGAGGAGACGAGGCACGUGGUGAACCGGGAGGUGAUGGAGGCGCUGGGGAAGGCCGGCGUGCUGGUGAACGUCGGCCGCGGCGGCCUCGUGGACGAGCCGGAGCUGGUCCGCUGCCUGCAGGAGGGCGUCAUCGGCGGCGCCGGCUUGGACGUGUUCGAGAGCGAGCCGGACGUGCCGCCGGAGCUCUUCUCCAUGGACAACGUCGUGCUUUCGGCGCACAGAGCCGUGGCCACGCCGGAGUCCAUCCGCGGCACGAUCGAGCUCGUCGCGGCCAACCUCGACGCCUUCUUCGCAGGGAAGCCACUGCUCAGCCCCGUGGAGCUCUGA